UUAUUCUGUGUACAUCAGCACUAAAACCAACACAAGAGUCCUGCAGACUAAUCUUAGCUUACAAGCCAAACAGGAGUGCGGGCGCUCUGAGUGAUCUGCACUGGAGCAACUGGGACCCUCAGGUGACUGCAAAACACGGAGGAUCGUUAUGUCCUCUCUCAGUCCACGAGUUUCUACCCACACUUGUGUUUUGAAGGCAACAAGGAAGGGGAGGAUAAGGAAAAGGGGAAGCAAAAAGAAACCCCCCUGAAGCUGAACAUCCUUUACCAGGGAAUGAAACCCUGACAUUCUGUGGCUGACACCAUCCUCCAGCAAAACUGCAGCAAAGAGGUUGCCAAGAUAAGAGAACCCCAAGCAAGCGAGCAACUAAAUAAAUAAGUGCAUGAAGAAAGGAA